GUGCUUGCUUUGGCAGCACAUAUAUUAAAAUUGGAAUGAUACAGAGAAGAUUAGCAUGGCCCUUGUGCGAAGGAUGACAUAAAUUUGUUAAGCAUUCCAUAUUUUU
ensembl:snRNA U6 U6 spliceosomal RNA